AAGGAAACAAAAGGGAAGAACCCUAACUUCAUGAAAUUCUCAAAAUCAAAAGGGAAUUAAGAGCCUAAAUGGAUGCAUGAACUCGAAAAUCGAAUAAUCUAAGCUUGCUCAUCGACUGGUAUAAAGGAAGAAAGUUCAAGUCAAGCAAAGCAACAAGGGAAUCAAGAUCGAGGUAAAUCUCAAGUUUAGCUUUCAAGCUUCGCCCGGUUCGAACACACUUCAAGACCCGUCCUAUGUUCCGCUACUUUUGUAAAGAAGACAACGCUUAAUAUUUUGGUCACAUGUCUAAGUCUAGUAGUUAAAACUUAGUACUUGUUAUGUAUUUUGAACUUAUCGAAUUUCGUAUGCGUGUCAAGAUGUUUGAUGGUACAUAAUAUGUC